AACGAACGCUAGCGGCAGGCUUAACACAUGCAAGUCGAGCGCCCCGCAAGGGGAGCGGCAGACGGGUGAGUAACGCGUGGGAACAUACCCUUUCCUGCGGAAUAGCUCCGGGAAACUGGAAUUAAUACCGCAUACGCCCUACGGGGGCAAGAUUUAUCGGGGAAGGAUUGGCCCGCGUUGGAUUAGCUAGUUGGUGGGGUAAAGGCCUACCAAGGCGACGAUCCAUAGCUGGUCUGAGAGGAUGAUCAGCCACAUUGGGACUGAGACACGGCCCAAACUCUUACGGGAGGCAGCAGUGGGGAAUAUUGGACAAUGGGCGCAAGCCUGAUCCAGCCAUGCCGCGUGAGUGAUGAAGGCCUUAGGGUUGUAAAGCUCUUUCACCGGAGAAGAUAAUGACGGUAUCCGGAGAAGAAGCCCCGGCUAACUUCGUGCCAGCCGCCGCCGUAA
rnacentral:rRNA from 1 species